rnacentral:lncRNA from 1 species
UUUUAAAUUGUUUCCUCUUAAAUAAAAACAAACAAACAAACAAACAAAAAAAAUUGUUUCUGCUUCUCCACAGGAAGGCCUCACACCACUUAGGCUUGCUCUAAUGGCAAACAGAAUGGAAACGGCAACAUUGUUAAAAAAGACAGGAACAAAGAAUGUGGUGAAUGAGCCGGAAAGACUUGUCUUAAAAGAAGAGGACAAGAAAAAAAGUCUUGAGGAAAAAUG